UGCAAGUCGAGCGAUGAAGCACCUUCGGGUGUGAAUUAGCGGCGAACGGGUGAGGAACACGUGAAGAAUCUGCCUUCAACUCUGGGAUAACUCCGGGAAACCGGGGCUAAUACCGGAUAUGAGCCUUGAUCGCAUGAUCGGGGCUGGAAAGUUUUUCGGUUGAAGAUGACUUCGCGGCCUAUCAGCUUGUUGGUGAGGUAAUGGCUCACCAAGGCGACGACGGGUAGCCGGCCUGAGAGGGCGACCGGCCACACUGGGACUGAGACACGGCCCAGACUCCUACGGGAGGCAGCAGUGGGGAAUAUUGGGCAAUGGAGGAAACUCUGACCCAGCGACGCCGCGUGAGGGAUGAAGGCCUUCGGGUUGUAAACCUCUUUCAGUAGGGAAGAAGCGAAAGUGACGGUACCUACAGAAGAAGCACCGGCUAACUAUGUGCCAGCAGCCGCGGUAAUACAUAGGGUGCAAGCGUUGUCCGGAAUUAUUGGGCGUAAAGAGCUCGUAGGUGGUUCGAUACGUCGGAUGUGAAAAUCAGGGGCUCAACCCCUGACCUGCAUCCGAUACGGUCGAGCUAGAGUUUGGUAGGGGAGACUGGAAUUCCUGGUGUAGCGGUGGAAUGCGCAGAUAUCAGGAGGAACACCGAUGGCGAAGGCAGGUCUCUGGGCCAAUACUGACACUGAGGAGCGAAAGCGUGGGGAGCGAACAGGAUUAGAUACCCUGGUAGUCCACGCCGUAAACGGUGGGCGCUAGUUGUGCGAACCUUCCACGGUUUGUGCGACGCAGCUAACGCAUUAAGCGCCCCGCCUGGGGAGUACGAUCGCAAGAUUAAAACUCAAAGGAAUUGACGGGGCCCCGCACAAGCAGCGGANCAUGCGGCUUAAUUCGACGCAACGCGAAGAACCUUACCANGGCUUGACGUAUACAGGAAUAUGGNAGANAUGUCAUAGCCGCAGGGNCUGUAUACNGGUGG
rnacentral:rRNA from 1 species